rnacentral:rRNA from 1 species
GGAGCGUGUGGUUUAAUUCGAUGCUACACGAAGAACCUUACCCAGGCUGACAUAGCAGUGAACGAUCGCGAAAGCGUGAGGCUCCUUCGGGACACUGUUACAGGUGCUGCAUGGCUGUCGUCAGCUCGUGUCGUGAGAUGUCCGGUUAAGUCCGGUAACGAGCGCAACCCUCACUGUGUGUUAUAUGUGUCACACGGGACUGCCGGUAUCAAGCCGGAGGAAGGUGGGGAUGACGUCAUGUCAGCAUGGCCUUUAUAUCUUGGGCA